UGAGGAAUAUUGCACAAUGGGCGCAAGCCUGAUGCAGCGACGCCGCGUGGAGGAUGAAGGUCUUCGGAUUGUAAACUUCUGUUAAGUGGGAAAAAAGUAUUGCUAUAAAUAGUAGCAAGAGAUGAUGGUACCACUAGAGAAAGCACCGGCUAAUCUCGUGCCAGCAGCCGCGGUAAUACGAGAGGUGCAAACGUUAUUCGGAAUCAUUGGGCGUAAAGGGUGUGUAGACGGUGAAAAAAGUCGGUUAUGAAAUCUCUUGGCUUAACCAAGAGUGUGUGAUCGAAACUGAUUUACUUGAGGGUGGAAGAGAGAAGUGGAAUUCUCGGAGUAGCGGUAAAAUGCGUAGAUCUCGAGAGGAACACCGAUGGCGAAGGCAGCUUCUUGGUCCAUUUCUGACGUUGAAACACGAAAGCGUGGGGAGCAAACAGG
rnacentral:rRNA from 1 species